rnacentral:rRNA from 1 species
AAAACCUCUCUCAGUUCGGAUUGAAGUCUGCAACCCGACUUCAUGAAGCUGGAUUCGCUAGUAAUCGCGCAUCAGCCACGGCGCGGUGAAUACGUUCCCGGGCCUUGUACACACCGCCCGUCAAGCCAUGGGAGCCGGGGGUACCUGAAGUGCGUAACCGCAAGGAGCGCCCUAGGGUAAAACUGGUGACUGGGGCUAAGUCGUAACAAGGUAUC